GGCUCAUAUGUAGUAAAUAUUAUCAAGUCUAGAAUUUUAAAGGGCUACCGGGAAGUAACACCCGAUGACUGGCAGUGAUCCGGACCUGUCGGAAAUUGGGUUGUUACAACUUGGUAUCAGAGCAGUUCGUUCCUAAUAGAGCCUGGGAAUGGACUGACUAUACUUCAUUGCAUACUCUGCUUUUUGUUUUCUCAUGCUAUUAGGGUAUCUUCAUUGAUGCAUUCAGCAUGAUCGUCUGCGAGCGCUUGUUCAGGAAUUAUUCAUACUUGACCUGAUAUGUUAAGGCUGAUUACCUUGAUGUUGAUUGUUGGGAAUGAAUAAGACCUAAAUGAUUGUGAGUGGAUGAAUUUAUCGAUAUAGGAUUUCUCGCAACACCUGCGAUUAUCAGAUAGACCGCGAUCAUGAAACUUUUAAACGCCGAUGACCACAUUUGUGUGGCAUGCUACUGCUGUAUUAGAAGUACGGUUGAUUGUUAAACGUUGGGAUAUAAAUAGUACGAGAAUGGUAACGAUAAAUCCAAGACGGCCCGAUGUGGGUGAUGCACAGUGCAAGCACGGUGACACGAAGUACGAAUGUGGAGAAUUUCCAUCGAUUUUGCUUACGAACACCUUUAGGAUCAAACCUUUUCUUGCGUAAGAUAGUUGUUGAGAUAGUUAAGAUAGGGUCUUCUGUGGUUUUAUAACCUUUAAGAUAUACUCGAAGUUUCGAGGGCGAAACUUUUUGUAAGGUGGGUGGGAUAUAACACCCCAAUUCUCCAUAGAGUUAUUCUCAGAAAUUCUGUGAUGAGAAAUUCGAUAAAUAUCUGAGAAUCACCUCAUUAUAAAAUAAUAAGGUGGAUUUAAACUUGAUAAGUAAAAAGAACAGUAUAGAUAUAUCAUUAGGUUUAGUUAACUAUGAACCAACACGCAUUAAACCGCUUUCUUUCUCUUGGUUCAGCCGAACCGGAAUCAAAAGCCCAUCAUCAGGAGAAAUUAACUAUGAUUAGCCUUAAUUUUCUUACUUCUUCUUCCUCUGAUGACCGAACCUGAGAAGGAUCCCCAACCCCAGUUCCACCUCUUGGUUACCUCUUCCAUUAAAUGCUCAUCCUUAUGUGUCUUACUGAGAAGAAACCAACGAAACCUCUGCACUGCCUCAUCCCACCUCCUCUUCUUCUAUCUAAUGAACCCAGUGCUUUUCAUCCUCUUCAAAAUUAAAACACGCACAAAUGGAAGAAAGAACAGAGGAAAGAAUGAAAUGAAUCUGAGGGAGAAGGAAGGAGCCAUCAACAGCAAGAAGAUAGACUGCAUUCCUCAUCAUUCUGAAUCUUUGAAGUAUCCUUGCUGGGUGAGAACCGGCAACUCUGUUUCUCUUCUUCUUCUUCAAAUUCAAAGAAAGAAAUUCUCUUCUUUUCUCUUGUUCCAUUUCUGCCAUUCUAAUUUCAAUUUCUGCUAGAACAGUGGUAACCAUAAGUAAAAGAGGAGUGAGAACUCUCUCUUGCUCAAACUUGAACCGGCCACUUGUUCGUAGGGGGAGUGACCGAAGCUUCAAUUUCGUAUGGUUAGGAUCUCUAAUUCAAGGAAGAAGCACAAACAGAAUUUUGAACUUCAAAAGAGAUGAGAGAUCCAGACUUGAUCGCUGUCACAGGAGUUAUAUUCAGAGAGGUACCAGAGGAGCACGUGUUGUCGGACUCUGCAGGAGAUGCUCGAAACUAGUCUUGAGCUGAUGGUUGCAAACUUGUGCCUCGACGGUGGAAAGAAUGUACGAUAGAUGGUAUUCAUUCCUUAGACUUUGCUUUCCCUCACUUCUGUAGCAUUUUUGAGGGAUAGGACUUGAUAUUUCCUUUUCUUUUAGCCCGGGUACCAGCUUAGGGAUUUUCUAUAUGAACUAGGUAUCUGGAAAGUUGUCAGUUGUAUAUAUAUAUAUAAGCGUGUCAAGUUUGUAUGAA